CACGUAGGGCGCAAGCGUUGUCCGGAAUUAUUGGGCGUAAAGAGCUCGUAGGCGGUCUGUUACGUCUGCUGUGAAAACCCGGGGCUUAACCCUGGGCUUGCAGUGGAUACGGGCAGACUAGAGGCAGGUAGGGGAGAAUGGAAUUCCCGGUGUAGCGGUGAAAUUCGUAGAUAUUGGGAAGAACACCGGUGGCGAAGGCGGCUAUCUGGCCCGUAAUUGACGCUGAGGCGCGAAAGCGUGGGGAGCAAACAGG
rnacentral:rRNA from 1 species